GAUGAACGCUAGCGGCAGGCCUAACACAUGCAAGUCGAGGGGCAGCACGUCUUCGGAUGGUGGCGACCGGCGCACGGGUGCGUAACGCGUAUGCAACCUACCUCUUACAGUGGGAUAGCCCAGAGAAAUUUGGAUUAAUACCGCAUAGUAUACAGAUCCAGCAUUGGGACUGUAUUAAACAUUUAUGGGUAAGAGAUGGGCAUGCGUUCUAUUAGUUAGUUGGAGUGGUAACGGCACCCCAAGACAGCGAUAGAUAGGGGCCCUGAGAGGGGGAUCCCCCGACACUGGUACUGAGACACGGACCAGACUCCUACGGGAGGCAGCAGUGAGGAAUAUUGGACAAUGGGCGAGAGCCUGAUCCAGCCAUGCCGCGUGCAGGAAGACGGCCCUAUGGGUUGUAAACUGCUUUUGUACGGGAAGAAACACCCCCUCGUGAGGGGGCUUGACGGUACCGUAAGAAUAAGGAUCGGCUAACUCCGUGCCAGCAGCCGCGGU
rnacentral:rRNA from 1 species